CCUACGGGUGGCAGCAGUGAGGAAUAUUGGUCAAUGGACGAGAGUCUGAACCAGCCAAGUAGCGUGAAGGAUGACUGCCCUAUGGGUUGUAAACUUCUUUUAUAUGGGAAUAAAAUGUUCCACGUGUGGGAUUUUGUAUGUACCAUAUGAAUAAGGAUCGGCUAACUCCGUGCCAGCAGCCGCGGUAAUACGGAGGAUCCGAGCGUUAUCCGGAUUUAUUGGGUUUAAAGGGAGCGUAGGUGGAUUGUUAAGUCAGUUGUGAAAGUUGGCGGCUCAACCGUAAAAUCGCAGUUGAAACUGGCAGUCUUGAGUACAGUAGAGGUAGGCGGAAUUCGUGGUGUAGCGGUGAAAUGCUUAGAUAUCACGAAGAACUCCGAUUGCGAAGGCAGUUCACUGGACUGCAACUGACACUGAGGCUCGAAAGUGUGGGUAUCAAACAGGAUUAGAUACCCGAGUAGUC
rnacentral:rRNA from 1 species